rnacentral:rRNA from 1 species
GCGAGAAACCUUUGCAAUGUGCGAAAGCACGACAAGGUUAAUCCGAGUGUCUUCUGCUAAAGAAGUCUUUUGUUAGUCAUAGAACCACUGAUGAAUAAGGGGUGGGCAAGUUCUGGUGUCAGCCGCCGCGGUAAAACCAGCACCUCGAGUGGUCAGGAGGUUUAUUGGGCCUAAAGCAUCCGUAGCCGGUUGUUUAAGUUUUCGGUUAAAUCUAUGCGCUUAACGUAUAGGCUGCCGAAAAUACUGGACAGCUAGGGAGUGGGAGAGGUACACGGUACUCAAUAGGAAGGGGUAAAAUCCUUUGAUCUGUUGAUGACCACCUGUGGCGAAGGCGGUGUACCAGAACACGUUCGACGGUGAGGGAUGAAAGCUGGGGGAGCAAACCAG